GAUGAACGCUGGCGGCGUGCCUAAUACAUGCCAGUCGAGCGAACAGACGAGGAUCUUGCUCCUCUGACGUUAGCGGCGGACGGGUGAGUAACACGUGGAUAACCUACCUAUAAGACUGGGAUAACUUCGGGAAACCGGAGCUAAUACCGGAUAAUAUAUUGAACCGCAUGGUUCAAUAGUGAAAGACGGUUUUGCUGUCACUUAUAGAUUGAUCCGCGCCGCAUUAGCUAGUUGGUAAGGUAACGGCUUACCAAGGCAACGAUGCGUAGCCGACCUGAGAGGGUGAUCGGACACACUGGAACUGAGACACGGUCCAGACUCCUACGGGAGGCAGCAGUAGGGAAUAUUCCGCAAUGGGCGAAAGCCUGACGGAGCAACGCCGCGUGAGUGAUGAAGGUCUUCGGAUCGUAAAACUCUGUUAUUAGGGAAGAAAAAAUGUGUAAGUAACUAUGCACGUCUUGACGGUACCUAAUCAGAAAGCCACGGCUAACUACGUG
rnacentral:rRNA from 1 species